AGGACGAACGCUGGCGGCGUGCUUAACACAUGCAAGUCGAACGGAAAGGCCCUUCGGGGUACUCGAGUGGCGAACGGGUGAGUAACACGUGGGUGAUCUGCCCUGCACUUUGGGAUAAGCCUGGGAAACUGGGUCUAAUACCGAAUAGGACCACGGGAUGCAUGUCCUGUGGUGGAAAGCUUUUGCGGUGUGGGAUGGGCCCGCGGCCUAUCAGCUUGUUGGUGGGUGAUGGCCUACCAAGGCGACGACGGGUA
rnacentral:rRNA from 1 species